rnacentral:rRNA from 1 species
AACGAACGCUGGCGGCAUGCCUAACACAUGCAAGUCGAACGAGACCUUCGGGUCUAGUGGCGCACGGGUGCGUAACGCGUGGGAAUCUGCCCUUGGGUUCGGAAUAACAGUUGGAAACGACUGCUAAUACCGGAUGAUGACGUAAGUCCAAAGAUUUAUCGCCCAGGGAUGAGCCCGCGUAGGAUUAGCUAGUUGGUGGGGUAAAGGCCUACCAAGGCGACGAUCCUUAGCUGGUCUGAGAGGAUGAUCAGCCACACUGGGACUGAGACACGGCCCAGACCCCUACGGGAGGGAGCAGGGGGGAAUAUUGGAAAAUGGGGGAAAGCCGGACCCAGAAAUGCCGCGUGAGGUAUAAAGGCCUUAGGGUUGAAAAGCUCUUUUACCCGGGAUGAUAAGGAAAGGCCCGGGAGAAAAAGCCCGGGCAAACUCCGG